rnacentral:rRNA from 1 species
UGGGGAAUUUUCCGCAAUGGGCGAAAGCCUGACAGAGCAAUGCCGCGUGGAGGUGGAAGGCCUACGGGUCGUCAACUUCUUUUCUCGGAGAAGAAACAAUGACGGUAUCUGAGGAAUAAGCAUCGGCUAACUCUGUGCCAG